rnacentral:rRNA from 1 species
AACGAACGCUGGCGGCAGGCUUAACACAUGCAAGUCGAGCGGGCCCUUCGGGGUCAGCGGCGGACGGGUUAGUAACGCGUGGGAACGUGCCCUUUGCUUCGGAAUAGCCCUGGGAAACUGGGGGUAAUACCGGAUGUGCCCUGAGGGGGAAGGAUUUAUCGGCAAGGGAUCGGCCCGCGUCUGAUUAGGUAGUUGGUGAGGUAACGGCUCACCAAGCCGACGAUCGGUAGCUGGUUUGAGAGGAUGAUCAGCAACACUGGGACUGAGACACGGCCCAGACUCCUACGGGAGGCAGCAGUGGGGAAUCUUAGACAAUGGGCGCAAGCCUGAUCUAGCCAUGCCGCGUGGGUGAUGAAGGCCUUAGGGUCGUAAAGCCCUUUCGCCGGGGAAGAUAAUGACGGUACCCGGUAAAGAAACCCCGGCUAACUCCGUGCCAGCCGCCGCCGUAAUAC